UCUGUUCCUGCUUUGGUUUUCACACGGAGCGGAAAAGCAGUUGGACACGGCGUGGGAAGGACUGGUAAACAAAACUUCAGUCGAGUAACUUUAGCUCGGUCUUUACUACAACCGAGGUGAAAUAUUAUUCAUUUAUGAUUUCAAGUCAGACCGUAUUUAUCUCAAAGAGAUUGUUUGUUGUUGUUUACAGUAUUGCAGCAGAAAUGUUGUAUGGCAGAAUAGCGCGUGACUGUUUCUGAACUAACUUAACGCUUGCGAACUUUGCUCGUCUCUAGAGCUGUCCCGGAAAAACAGAACAACAUCCCAGAAUUCAUGCCAUGUUAUGACUUUAAAUAGACCACGUUCGUUCUGUUUUCGAAUCCACAAAGAAUAGAUCAGUCAGAAUUGUAAAACUCGAUUAAUUUGGACAUCUGCUCGUAGCAGCAGGUCCCGUUUGUUGUUGGGUGACUCAGACGUUCAUCACAGACACAAGAUGUUGAAGUUCUUCGGAUUCAAGAAUGAUGGCGCCAAAAAAUCUUCUGAGAGAGAGACUGAUGGAUUUGUCAUCAUUGGUGAAACUGUUGAGGAGCAGUCACAGAAGAUUCAGUCCAUGAACAUUGAGCAGCCCACAACAAAUGUAAUAGUACAACCAUCUAAGCCAUCCAGUGCCGGGAACAGAGGAAUUACAGAGAUGACUCGGCCUUCCUCCCAGCCCACGUCUGCCAAGAUGUCCUCAGAAACACACGCUGUAGACGCCACCCCGGCCCUCCCUGAGCUUCUAGGAGACAUACCUUUCACUUUAGCACCACACAUCGUGGCCAUGCAGGCGGGCCUGCCCUUUGUAACAGAUGUCACCCUGCUUCACAACAUAAAUGACAAACUAGCCAACUUUCGUUAUGACUUCACCUUGGAGAACUCGGUGCUUUGUGAGCCGUGACUCUUUGCCCAUCAGUUAUAUCACUAAACGCGUGGUGAACUAUGGGCCUUUGGUUGUCAAGAUCCUCUUUAACCACUUGCCUCUUAAAUAAACGAAGAUCUAGUUUAGCUGACAAAAAUCAGUCACUGACUAAAGGGUGUUGGGCUGGACUGAACAUAUUGUCCUUUUAGUUUAAAUAAGUUAGCAUCAAGAUGGUUUGCCAUCCCUCAGGAUCCCGCACUUGAUUGUGAGAUGAGCAUUACUGCCUUGUUUUAACGCAGUAGACGGGUAUUUAUAAGAUGACCUGUGGCUUUACGUUUUUCAAAUGUAGUUCAAAUUUUACGGGUGUAAUAUCUGUGCAAUUUUGCAUUUCAACUCUGUUGGGGUCCUGUAGCAUAAAAUGAUAUGCUGAACUGAAACUGCUCUGUUUCUUAGUAGUUGCUUUGGGCUGUUUGAUGUUUCAGACGUCACUGUCUGUGUUGGCCUUCCUCAGUUUUUUCUUACUUCUGCAAAAACUCACUGUAAUUUAUGGAAUCGGUUUUAAGAUCAUUGACUGAAAAUCGAUUGAUCUCUCAGUGAUCUUUAAACAUAUGUAAAAUAAAUAAUUCAGUAAUAGAAGUAUUUUAUUCAAAUACAAAUUAUAUUUAAAAAAUGUAUAUUAAAAAUGGCAAUCGCAAUGGCCUUUUGGCUAGUCCACUAUUUACUGUAACUCUACUUUUAGUACCUAUAAACCUUAAAGGCGAAAAAACACUCCCUCUCUGCUAUUGGUCAGUCAAACAGAUAGUCCCGCCCCAAACGGUUGCUAUUGGUUGAGACAGAUGGCUGGUUGGGAUGUGCAAACAGAACAAUAUCCUGAUACUGACGUAGUGUUUUGCACUUUUCAGGGGAAUCAGGAUAGAAUAUUGCUUACUUGUAGUUGUCUCUGCAUAUAAUGCUGGGAUAUGAAGUAUUUUUGGUUUUUUCUUACUUCUGCAAAAACUCACUGUAAUUUAUGGAAUCGGUUUUAAGAUCAUUGACUGAAAAUCGAUUGAUCUCUCAGUGAUCUUUAAACAUAUGUAAAAUAAAUAAUUCAGUAAUAGAAGUAUUUUAUUCAAAUACAAAUUAUAUUUAAAAAAUGUAUAUUAAAAAUGGCAAUCGCAAUGGCCUUUUGGCUAGUCCACUAUUUACUGUAACUCUACUUUUAGUACCUAUAAACCUUAAAGGCGAAAAAACACUCCCUCUCUGCUAUUGGUCAGUCAAACAGAUAGUCCCGCCCCAAACGGUUGCUAUUGGUUGAGACAGAUGGCUGGUUGGGAUGUGCAAACAGAACAAUAUCUUGAUACUGACGUAGUGUUUUGCACUUUUCAGGGGAAUCAGGAUAGAAUAUUGCUUACUUGUAGUUGUCUCUGCAUAUAAUGCUGGGAUAUGAAGUAUUUUUACGUCACAAAAAUUACGCAUAUCACUUUAAGUUACUUAUGAAUGGAUUGCAGUUAAAAUCACGAGACGCAUUGGAGGGCUUUAUAUAAAUAGGCCAAUAUCAUAUCUCUUUGUUCGUAAAAGUAUGCUUUUUUCUUCUGUUUGUGUGAAUAUGCAUACCUCGACUGGUGUUGUUUGGCUUUAAUGCAUGACAUUUUGAAGUUCUGCCUAAACAUGACACACCCCAUUUUGGGAGGCAGAUAUGUAUUCUGUUUAAGUUUGAUUGCAAAAACAUGCACAUGGGUUUUAGUAGGAUUUACUGUUCUGUUUGGGUAGGCCACACAGUUGUUGAGCUGUUUUUUCUUGUUUUUCUUUCAUCUGAAUUUCAGUUAAUUGGAUGGGUUUUAUCAUCGUGCGUGCUGCUAUUUACACAAUGCACUCAGGAGUUUAGCUGUUUCUCCUUUACAUCCUCUGCACUUUACUUGAUAGCGGUUUAGUUUAUUUACUUGAUACCAUUUCAUAUCCCACUUUUGUUUAUUAAAACAUAUUUUAUGAGUCUGUGUUUUGAUUUGUCUGUCUUUCCGACAUGGUUAUUUUAUCUAAGCUUCCUCCUAAUGUAUCUGACUGACCUAUCCUUUUCAAAACAUUGUACUGAAGUAAUCAAAGUUGUGUUUGCUCUAUAAAAAUGUCUGUAAAAUAAUUUAAUCACCUUAAUUCCUUUGUUGGAUUCCUUAUUGAUUCAUAUCUGGAACAGAAUUCAUCAUUGUUUCUGAUCCCACGUGAUGUUUAAAUUCUGAGCAUGUAAUAUGACGUUGUUUCAUUAAAAUCUUACUUG
ensembl:lncRNA UBAP1-MVB12-associated (UMA)-domain containing protein 1-like